rnacentral:rRNA from 1 species
GGUGGGGAUGUGUGUACCGGGUGGAAGCCGGAGCACGCUAUCCGUCUAUUGGGCCAUCUAGCCGGUGCACUUUCUCUGUGGUGGACACCACGACCGGUGGAACUGCCAGUCUGCUAUGUUCAAGUCGUAUUCGGUUGGUCCUUGUGGCCUACUGGGUGCGAUCACGGGCAAACUCGGUGAACGGCGUUGAUGUGCUCUCGGGCGUGUCUUCGUGUUAUCGGUAACCGGUUGUCUUAACGGGCUUGCCUUACGAUUGUUCUAGCCGUCGUAGGGUGGUCUGGUGGAGCAUAGUGGUAAGAAUAACUGUGCAGGGCACCGGAGUUCUCGGCAUCAAAUGCAGCCGGCAUGCACGCUGGAAGUGUUAAUGUGGGUGCCCGCGUUGCCUGCCUGUAGUGGGGGUCUGAUUGUCGUGUUGCCUGCGAAAAGUAGGUUCGGCAGUGGCUCUCCUCAGGAUGGGUUGACGAUGGGUGCUUACAGUGUCGGUUGUAGUGUGCCAAACAGUCUGUGGUGUAGUGGUAGACGAGCUACCCGACCCGUCUUGAAACACGGACCAAG